rnacentral:misc_RNA from 1 species
CACUAGGAGCAUCAAUAAAAUCAAAUUCCAACACAUUCUUAAUGCCCAAUGCAAGGAUCCUCAAAACUGCAAUACCAAGGUGAACUUUACGAAUUUCAGGUUCUUGAUGGAAAUCCAUUGACUGGUAAUCAGAUUCCGAGUAAAGCCGGUAACAUUUUCCAGGUUCCGUUCGACCAGCACGACCAGCUCGUUGAUUAGCAGAACUCUGGCUAAUCUUGGAAACCC